rnacentral:lncRNA from 1 species
UUUGGGACUAAACUGAGACACACGGCCGUGUCUCUGCCCGUGUGACCAAUUCGAAGCUAAAAUUCAAAAUGCAGGGGACACACUACCGGAUCACACACCUAUAGGGUAAGCCGUGUGUCACACACGGCCUAGAUACACGUCUGUGUCUACCCAUGUGGACAAAAAUAAGGCUAUUUACCAAGCAAUUUUGUCACCCUUUCUUGCACCGACCUACACAACAACAAGCAACACCGAUCCAAGUAUAUACAUACAACCAAUUCAGCCACAAACAAGAUAUGAAUGUAUCAUUUACAUGCAACCAUCUGCCACAUACAAACAUCACCUACUUAUCAA